CCGCCUUCUGAUGGGCACGUCGAUCGCCCUAUGUUGCAUGGCAUCGAUUCGCGUGCCCAUGCAUGGUCAUCCGAAGAGCCCGUCGCGCCGAGCAUCUCCACUGCUCGGUCCGCUACGCCAGCGACCGCCGAGUCUCCAGCGGCUCGGCCCUCUUCGCCAGCGGCCGCCGAGUCUUCAACGGCUCGGCCUGUCACGCCGUCUUCGCCCGCGGCUCGGCCCGUCACGCCGUCUUCGCCUGCAGCUCGGGUCCGCGACGCCGUCCUCACGUCGCCUUCAUCCACGGAUCGGCCCGCGACACCGGCCGCGCCACGGCCCACUAUGCCGGGCUCGCCAUCGGCCCGGUCUGUGACGCCGGCGUCGCCAGCUGCUUCAUCUGCUCUGCCGGUUUCGCCGGUGGGCCGGCCUUCUUCGCUGACCGACCCCGAGGCUACUGUGUCUGGCUCCUCGUCACCGGCUGACUCGUCAACGUCGCCGUCCUCCAGCCCGUUGCAGGCUGCUCCGUCGACCUCGGUGGUUCCUGUGUCCCGACCACAUACACGCAGUCGCAGUGGCAUUUUCAAACCUAAGGAACGUAAGGAUGGUACGGUUGCUUGGUUGGCUGCUUGUUUGGCUGCUGCUGUUGCGGAUCCAUCUUCUGAGCCUCGCUCAUAUCAGGCUGCCCUGCGCAUUCCACAUUGGCGAGAGGCUAUGGAGCAGGAGUUUCAUGCUCUCCUUCGUAACAAGACAUGGACUCUCGUUCCUCCACCACCACGGGUAAAUGUUAUUGACUCAAAAUGGGUAUUCAAAGUGAAGAAGCAUUCGGAUGGAUCUAUUGAGCGUUACAAAGCGCGACUUGUUGCUCGCGGUUUUCGGCAGCGCCAUGGUCUUGACUAUGAGGACACCUUCAGUCCUAUCGUCAAGCCUACCACUAUUCGGCUUCUUCUCUCCAUUGCUGUUUCUCGUGGUUGGUCACUUCGUCAACUUGAUGUGCAGAAUGCUUUUCUACAUGGAUUUUUGGAGGAAGAGGUUUAUAUGAAACAGCCGCCUGGUUUCUCUGAUCCUGAUCGUCCUGACUAUAUCUGUCGUCUCUCCAAAGCACUAUAUGGUUUGAAGCAAGCUCCUCGUGCCUGGCAUGCCCGCCUUGCCUCUGCCCUUCGUGCUCAUGGGUUUGUGCCGUCCACUGCUGACACUUCAUUAUUUCUUCUACAGAAGCCAGAAGUCACUAUGUAUCUUUUGGUAUAUGUC
rnacentral:rRNA from 1 species